rnacentral:rRNA from 1 species
GACGAACGCUGGCGGCGUGCCUAAUACAUGCAAGUCGAACGAGUGGCGGACGGGUGAGUAAUGUCUGGGAAACUGCCUGAUGGAGGGGGAUAACUACUGGAAACUGUAGCUAAUACCGCGUACCAUAGGAUGAGCCCAAGUGGGAUUAGGUAGUUGGUGAGGUAAAGGCUCACCAAGCCGACGAUCUCUAGCUGGUCUGAGAGGAUGACCAGCCACACUGGGACUGAGACACGGCCCAGACUCCUACGGGAGGCAGCAGUGGGGAAUAUUGCGCAAUGGGGGCAACCCUGACGCAGCCAUGCCGCGUGAAUGAAGAAGGCCUUCGGGUUGUAAAGUUCUUUCGGUAGCGAGGCGUUAACUACAGAAGAAGCACCGGCUAACUCCGUGCCAGCCGCCGCGGUAAUUC